rnacentral:lncRNA from 1 species
GAGACACCUGUGAUUCCAUGUGGCUGCCUGUGGCUUCAUGUGACAUGCCUAGGGACAUGGCAGCUGAUGUGACUCCUAGCGACUACAAAAUCAGGUCCUAGGGGGCGUCUGAGUCAGCCAGGAUCCGGCCCUUCAGCAUGUGCACUCUCUGGGACAGAAGCCCUGGACCCCCGCUGCCAUUUGAGCCUGCCUAGCCAUAAAACCCCGGAGGCCGAUCGUGCGGAGAGAUUGCCCUGUCACUUCUGGAGAAGAUGCAGACCCAGGAGAUCCUGAGGAUCCUGCGGCUGCCCGAGCUAUCGGACUUGGGCCAGUUUUUCCGCAGCCUCUCAGCCACCACCCUUGUGAGUAUGGGUGCACUGGCUGCCAUCCUUGCAUACUGGCUCACUCACCGGCCAAAGGCCUUGCAACCACCAUGCAACCUCCUGAUGCAGUCGGAAGAAGUAGAGGACAGUGGUGGAGCCCGGCGAUCUGUGAUUGGGG